GACGAACGCUGGCGGCGUGCCUAACACAUGCAAGUCGAGCGAUGAAACCCUUCGGGGUGGAUUAGCGGCGGACGGGUGAGUAACACGUGGGUAACCUGCCUCAAAGAGGGGGAUAGCCUCCCGAAAGGGAGAUUAAUACCGCAUAAUAUUAUUUCUUCGCAUGAAGAGAUAAUCAAAGGAGUAAUCCGCUUUGAGAUGGACCCGCGGCGCAUUAGCUAGUUGGUGAGGUAAUGGCUCACCAAGGCGACGAUGCGUAGCCGACCUGAGAGGGUGAUCGGCCACAUUGGAACUGAGAUACGGUCCAGACUCCUACGGGAGGCAGCAGUGGGGAAUAUUGCGCAAUGGGGGAAACCCUGACGCAGCAACGCCGCGUGGGUGAAGAAGGCCUUCGGGUUGUGAAGCUCUGUCUUCUGGGACGAUAAUGACGGUACCAGAGGAGGAAGCCACGGCUAACUACGUGCCAGCAGCCGCCGUAA
rnacentral:rRNA from 1 species